GCGCUCGUAGUUCAAUCGGAUAGAACGUCGGAUUUCGGCUCCGAAGGCUUGAGGGUUCGAGUCCUUCCGAGCGCA
rnacentral:tRNA from 1 species